rnacentral:rRNA from 1 species
CCUACGGGAGGCAGCAGUGGGGAAUAUUGGGCAAUGGACGAAACCCUGACCCAGUGACGCCGCGUGCGGGAAGAAGGUUUUCGGAUUGUAAACUGCUUUUGACAGGGAAGAAAAAAGUCAGUACACGUAGGAUAAGAGCCGGCGAACUACGUGCAAGUAGCAGCGGGAAUACGUGGGGAGCAAGCGUUAUCCGGAUGUAUUGGGUGUAAAGGGUGCGUAGACGGGGGAGCAAGUUAGAUGUGAAAUCCCGCGGCUUAACCGAGGAACUGCAACUAAAACUACUUCACUUGAGUACUGUAGAGGAAAGUGGAAUUCCUAGUGUAGCGGUGAAAUGCGUAGAUAUUAGGAGGAACACCAGUGGCGAAGGCGACCUUCUGGACAGUAACUGACGUUGAGGCACGAAAGCGUGGGGAGCAAACAGGAUUAGAUACCCCUGUAGUC